GGGAACCACUGUUCUAAUGUAUUGAUUUCCACAGAAAAGGUGAAACGGGUUCCAGAACAUCAUAAGGGAUGCCGCCAACAGAGAAGAAAGAGACGACGGAGCAAAUAAAGAACUAAUCUUUUUGGGCCAAUGGUGCGGUUUAAUCUGAGCCGGUCUGACUUGAUUGAGGAUGCUUGCAAAAGCACCUAAGCCCAUGACCCAUGUCACAGCCCACCAAGGUCAAGGCAAAGUCGCUUAUCUCUGUAAAUCAAAACUGUCGGCGUGAACAAUGGGGGACAAUUUCAAUUAAAGCGUGUUCGGGGGCCACAAACACAGAGGAACAAACUAAACGACUUUGCGCUCGAAGUAUUGCAGUUCAGGAAUCCAGGCGAGGGCAAUUAAUAAAUUAAGAGAAGUUUUAAUUCACAAAUGUUGGCUAUUUUGAAAUUGUCUAAGCAUUAUAAGUGUUUUGUACACUAAUAUAAAUUUCAUGUAAGACUUAGUUUCACUCAGAAACUAGUACAUUUCAGAAAUAAGUACAAAAAAAUGGCAAACACGUGAAAUUUGGAAGUAGAAAGACUGAAAUAGUGUGUUUUAUCUUUGUUUAACUUAUGUAUAUUUAAAAAGGCAAAAUCAUAUUUUCCAGGCCAAAUUUAAUUUCUUCUCAUAGUGAUUUCAGUUUCCAAUGAACAUAUCCAAAUGUCGACUCCAGGAUUGCAUCCCAAUAAUGCCAAAUGGCAACAUCGCAGAACAUCUUUAGAUCAUGGCGAAAAAUUAAAGCAUGCAGGUUUGGAACGACAUGUGGCUCUUGUGAUUGGAAACGCAGACUCCGCAGUGUCAAGCAAAACUCUGAACCUCAGUCGACAAGAGCAGAGGAUGGGCCAUGGGACAAAGGAUUAAAAGACUCUUCCUGACAAGAGGAACUCUCACGCAGACUGGCUCGCGAUGAGUCAUUCGUAGCCUCGGGUAGCUGGUCGUUUGUGGUUUGGGUGAUUGAAGAGGAAAGACAUGAACUAACGACUGAUCUGAAAUCCAUCAGUAGUUCAGACCGCACUGAGAUCUUUUCCAAAGUUUAGAUGGAUCUCGAUGGUGAAGUUUUCCGACCUUCACAUGACAGAUGACAGCUGCAUAAUGCUGCAGUAAGUCUAGACUUAAACUAAAUGUACAUUUGAGCCCUUAGCAAAGCAGAUUCAAAACUGUAACAUCUGUGCAAUUAAUAAUUCACCCAAAGAUUAAAAUUCU